GACAGGCAGAGUGGACAGUGAGAGAGAGAGACAGAGAGAGAAAGGUCUUCCUUUUGCUGUUGGUUCACCCUCCAAUGGCCGCCGCUGCAGCCGGCACACCGCGCUGAUCCGAUGGCAGGAGCCAGGAGCCAGGUGCUUUUCCUGGUCUCCCAUGGGGUGCAGGGCCCAAGCACCUGGGCCAUCCUCCACUGCACUCCCUGGCCAUAGCAGAGAGCUGGCCUGGAAGAGGGGCAACCGGGACAGAAUCCGGCGCCCCAACCGGGACUAGAACCCGGUGUGCCGGCGCCGCAAGGUGGAGGAUUAGCCUAUUGAGCCACGGCGCCGGCCCUAUAUUAUCAUCUUUUACAAUUUCUUUUCCAUUGAAUUUGAUUAGUCUGGGACCAUCUGAACGUAUUGGGAUUAGUCUAGCCUUCUUGUUAGCUUCUGUAUUUUAUUUUAUUUAUUUAUUUUUUUUUGACAGGCAGAGUGGACAGUGAGAGAGAGAGACAGAGAGAAAAGGUCUUCCUUUGCCAUUGGUUCACCCUCCAAUGGCCGCCGCGGCCGGCGCACUGCGUCGAUCCGGUGGCAGGAGCCAGGAGCCAGGUGCUUUUCCUGGUCUCCCAUGGGAUGCAGGGCCCAAGCACCUGGGCCAUCCUCCACUGCACUCCCGGGCCACAGCAGAGGGCUGGCCUGGAAGAGGGGCAACCGGGACAGAAUCCGGCGCCCCGACUGGGACUAGAACCCGGUGUGCCGGCGCCGCUAGGCGGAAGAUUAGCCUAGUGAGCCGCGGCGCCGGCCCAACUUCUGUAUUCUUUUGAAACAUCUCCAUCCUUCAUCAGAAGCUUUUAAAAUUUUUGACUCUACAAAGCAUUCCAGAUUCACCCUGCACUUGCUCUGCCCUGGCCCUGGGAUCAGCCAUUGCUCCAAGGAUUGCUGCUCUCUUAAUACUGUUUGGAAGUGAAGAUACAGGCUCCACGUGUGCUCCUUGGACUUGGAUGCACUGCUUCCAGGCCUCUCAGUGGUCAAGCUAAGAAGUGACAUAUACGGCUCAAUAGGCUAAUCCCUCCGCCUUUGGCGCCGGCACACCGGGUUCUAGUGUGGAUUCUGGCAUCUCCAAGCUUGACUGAAGCUGUGACUCCUCACUGUUUGCCUUGUCACCUGUGGAUCUGGCAUCUCCAAGCCCAACUGCAACCUGGCGCCUUUUGAUUGGUGCACUCUGCCUGGGUAGCAGCUGAAAUUCCUCCUGCAAGACGGUGCCUCACCUCCUCGUGGGCACUGGAGCUCUGCUUUCCUUUGGCAUAGUUCCUCCGUCCCUGCACUCCCCACUAUGAAACUCCUGGUUCUCCUGGCCCUCCUUGCUCUGUCUACCAUGCCGGUGUCUGCUCAGGAAGAGAGCUCCCUCACUACUGUGAACUACGUUAAAGGAGGCAAGACCCUGGCUUGGAAAUUGAUAUAUUCAUUGCCCACAUCAAGCGCCCUGGGGAGUUUCACCUUGCUGCACUGAAAACUUGGCUACGCUGCUGCCUGCCGUUGGAGUAGCCCAGGUUGAGAGAAAAUCUCUGUCCCGUGAUCCACCACCGCACACCUCAACUCUGUCAAGCACAAGUUCUCCAAACAAAUAGAGCCUCGACCCCUUUACCCUGUGGGGUGCCCACGCCCUAGUGAGAAGAAGCUUCUCUGUCUUGUACGAUACUCACCUCACAUCUGCAGGUGACACGUGAGCAAAAGAAGGAACAGGCCUCCGGGUGCUUUGCUGUCCACAACUCCCACCCCCACCUUCCCUGUAUCUUUUAUUUUAUUUUAUUUUUUAAAAUUUAUUUAUUUGUUUGAGAGGCAGAGUUACAGCAAGAGGGGGACACAUCUGCUGGUUUGCUCCCCAAAAGGCUACAACGACCAGAGCUGCACGGAUCCAAAGCCAGGAGCCAGGAGCUUCUUCUGGGUCUCCCACGUGGAUGCAGGGCCCAAGGACUUGGGCCAUCUUCUACUGCUUUCCCAGGCCAUCAGCAGGGAGCUGGAUCAGAAGUGGAGCAGCCAGGACUUGAACCGGCUGCUCCUAUGGGAUGACACCACUGCAGGCAGAGGCUUAGCCUGGUAUGCCACAGUGCCAGCCCCCUUCCCUUGUAUCUUUUUUUUUUUUGACAGGCAGAGUGGACAGUGAGAGAGAGAGACAGAGAGAAAGGUCUUCCUUUUGCCGUUGGUUCACCCUCCAAUGGCCGCCGCGGCCGGCGCGCUGCGGCCGGCGCACCGCGCUGAUCUGAUGGCAGGAGCCAGGAGCCAGGUGCUUUUCCUGGUCUCCCAUGGGGUGCAGAGCCCAAGCACUUGGGCCAUCCUCCACUGCACUCCCUGGCCACAGCAGAGGGCUGGCCUGGAAGAGGGGCAACCGGGACAGAAUCCGGCGUCCUGACCGGGACUAGAACCUGGUGUGCCGGCGCCGCUAGGCGGAGGAUUAGCCUAGUGAGCCGCGGCGCCGGCCUCCCUUGUAUCUUAUUUAGGAAGCCCAGCUCAAAAGGAAUUCCUUGAAAACACUGCAAAUAAAUGUGCUUUGUUUUAAAGGUUCAAAUCUGUCUGCAAGUUUUCUGAUUAUCCUUUUUUAUUUUUUAAAAAAGAUUUAUUUAUUUGAAAGAGUUACACACAGAGAGGAAGAGACAGAGAGAGAGAGAGAGAGAAAGAGAGAGAGAGGUCUUCCAUCCGCUGGUUCACACCCGAAAUGGCUGCAAUGGCCAAGGCUGGGCCAGGUUGAAGCCAGGAGCCAGGAGCUUCAUCCUGGUCUUCCACAUGGGUGCAGAGGCCCAAGCACUUGGUCUAUCUUAUCUCCUGCUGCUUUCCCAGGCACAUUAGCAGGGAGCUGGAUCAGAAGUGGAGCAACCAGGACUGAACUGGCACCCAUAUGGGAUGCCAGCAUUGCAGGCGGCAGCUUUAGCCCUCGCCAGCCCCUCUAAUUGUCUUUUAACAUCACCCAAAGGACCUUUCUUCUGACAUUACUCAAAACUCACAGAAAUAUUUUCUUAAGCACAGAACCAAGCACCUCUGCACAAACUAUGCAUGAUUUUGGAGAACAGAUCUAUAGCCAGUUAUUUCUGUUAUGAAUUAUUCUGCGAUAAGAAUGAGAUAAUUUAGUUCGGAUGUGUGAGGGGGCCUGGGGAGAAGCAGGAGGGUGCACCCGAAAGGUAAAGUCAAGCUCUGGCCAGUGAUUGGCCCUUCUGGUCCUGUUGGCUCCCCCUGCCCCUGCCUCCCCAACUCUGCGUGCUCUCACCAGCCUUCUCCCGACUGCACAGGGAAACCAGGACUGGCCAGGGGUCCUGGGAGAUCUCAUGGAUGUAUGGGAGGCCAGACCACUGGUAAGUCUCUGGGCAGUGGGAGAAGGAGGGUUUUCUGGAAGAAACACAGGCUGGGGUCGGGAGGCUCGAGUGCAGGGCGGGACGCCUGCAGAUUUCUGCAGACCAAGCAGCUGGGCUACGGGGCAGGAGGCAGGCCCCGGGAGGGGAGGGGGAGCCUUCUGCCGGCUGGGCUGUAGGAAUCCUGGCUGGCUUUUGUGUUUUAAUUCUUUGCUUAUUCUCCUUAAAACAACUCAUGCUGCACAUUCCAGAUCACUUCUGCCCAGCGAAACAAGUUAAACAAACGUGGGAGCCAGGGACAACCUCAGGGGUCUGAAUGCGGUGGCAAGGUGGCGACAUUGUCUGGAGGGACUCCCCCAGCCCCCACCCUGGGGAGGGGUGCGGAUUCUGCACGGCCUGGCUCUGUCCCCUCUCUCCUCCAGGAUGAAACUCUUAGAUUGGAGUUAAGAAAAGCAGAUUGUUCUGACCCCCAGGGCUUGCUUAUUUCUCAGCUUACAGAGAAGGCCGGAGGCGUGGAGAAUAGCAUGAAAGCUGGCGUGUGUUAGCCGCGUCUGGGUGAGCCGUGGGAGCAGCAGAAGCCACCUGUGUGGCAGGAAGGUCUCUGAGCGGGCAUGUCGUGGGUUAGGAUGGGAGCUGCUCCCGGGGUAAUGCGGCCAGCCUGGGCUUGCUGAUACAGUAAGCAGAGCCCCUCACCUCCCAUUCAGCCUCCUCUCCUUUCCAGCUUUGCUGUCGCUACUACGUUAGAAGUUUAGAGGCAGUUCUGAAUGCUGGCUACAUCACGCCCCCUGGAAGUGUCCUGGCCCUCUUUGGUGUGUGAAUCCACUUCCUGGGACCCUGUCUACUGAGGGCAGGAGAAGCCAGGGUUCUUCUGUGGCUCUGCAGAGUCUCCCUGGGAAGUCGGUGCCCCUCUCUUGGCUUCUGUCCCUUCCGGGGUAAAGCGAGUGUCAGUCCAUUCCUCUCGGGCCCUAGUCUUGGUCCCAAGUCUCCCUCCCAGUGCCCCCAGAACUGCCCAAGACUCCAGGGCUGCAGCCCUCCCUUCCGGGUGGACAGCUGACCUCUCCCAGGGGCACCCUGAGGACAUGGCCCAGCCCAACAGUCAUCACCCACCCCUUCCUCCCAGGCCCCUGGAUGCGUCCUUCUGCUUUCCAGAAACGCUGGGCUGAGCACCAGUGUUCCCGGCUUUUCCCAGGGCCCAAGAUCCAUUCUGAAGUCGUGUGGCUGCCUCCCGUGAGAGGGUGGAGGAAAGGCACCUCCCAGCUCUUCUGCUGGGUGCCCCAGGAUCAGGAGCUCCUGACUUAACAGAUCUCGCCCGUCUUGGACAGCAGAAGGCCCCCAGGGACACCCUCGGCCUUUAAGCCGCUCUCUUCCAUGUAGCCCAGCCCAGCGCCUGCCUGUCUCAUUUCCGUGACUCCCACGGGGCCGCGUGCACAGGAGGGCCACUGCUGAGAAAUGUCCUUGGUGCACAUUUGUUGAAUGAACGGAUGGAUGAGAGGAAAAGAAGUCUCUCCUCAGUUUCUCUCUCCCUAUGGAGGAAGGAGUGAGGCCCUCAGCUCUAGUCCCCGGAGCCUCUGCAGCCUUGCUGGCACAUGGAGGUCUCCCUUUCAUGCCUGACGCAUCAGAAGGGCUGGAAACCACCGGACAGGCAGUGGUGAGCUGGGGACAGCAGUACGGGGGCACUGUCGGUGGGUUCUGUAUUUGGCUGAAUCCUGGGAAGCUCCAUUCAACUUCAGGGUAGUCGUUGAAACAGGGGACAGAGAGGCUCAGCGGGCACUGGGUCAGGAACUGUGUUGGAAGGAAGAGGGGGGACUUCCCACCUGCAGUCUCCUGAUAAUAACCAAGAACCAUGCUUCUGAAAUGUGGGGUGCGGGUCCCCCGCUCCUUUGCAGGUGGUUCUAGUGCUCAGUGUGGGGACAGGCUGGACAAUGUGAAGGAGGGAGAUUGUUCAUCUGCUGAUUCACUCCCCAAAUGGCCAUGCCCUGGGGCUGGCCUAGGCCAGGCCAUAGUCUGGAGCCUCCCUCGGGGUCUCCCAUGUGAGUGGCAGGGGUCCAAGCACUUGCAUCAUCUUCCAAAGCUUUCCCAGGUGCAUUAGCAGGGAACUGGAUGGGAAGUAGAGCAGCCGGGACUCGAACAGGCGUCCAUGUGGGAUGCUGUCAUUAUAGGCAAUAGCUUAACCCACUGUACCACAAUGCCAGCUCCAAGCCAAGGGAUCUUGAAAAGCAGGCUGCCAUGUAUUUCUUUAAACAUGACAUGAAAACAACAGAAGCGAGAGUUCCAGGAAAUUAGAAAAACUAAUUUGAACCAUAUUUCCUUCUAAAAGUCGAGGAAUUCCAACUUGAUGUAAAAAUGAGCAAUGGAGAAGCACUGAGGUCUAAUCUCAUAAUUUUUUUUAUAAAAAAGAAAACCAGAGUAACAUUUGCACAGACAAGCAAGGAAAGCAUGCCAAGACAUCUUUUUUUUUUCAAAAUGAGCUAAAAAGCAUUGAGAAAACGAGGUAAAGCAUAAAAGAUCAUCAAUCAAAAUUAUGAACUCAGAAAUAAAGUGACAAGAGUCAGGAAUGGGUGAGCAAUAAAAAAUUAUCACUUCAUAAAUUAGCUCGGAGGAAUGCAAGAAUGAAUUAAUGGAACAGAUAAUGCCUCAGGUUAAUAGAAAAGCAAGAGAAAUGUAAAAAAUAAAAAAUAAAUGAAGUAGGGGCUGGCGCCAUGGCUCACUUGGUGAAUCCUCUGCCUGCGGCACUGGCAUCCCAUAUGGGUGCCAGGUUCUAGUCCCAGUUGCUCCUCUUCCAGUCCAGCUCUCUGCUGUGGCCCAGAAGGGCAGUGGAGGAUGGCCCAAGUGCUUGGGCCCUGCACCCGCAUGGGAGACCAGAAGAAGCACCUGGCUCCUGGCUUCGGAUUGGCGCAGUGCUGGCCCUAGCGGCCAUUUGGGGAGUGAACCAAUGGAAGGAAGACCUUUCUCUGUCUCUCUCUCUCACUUUCUAUAACCCUACCUGUCAAAUAAAAAAUAAAUAAAUAAAUGAAGGGAGAGAUACAGAGCAUCCAAUGGGGAGUUACAGACAUCAACAGGCAAAUAGGAACACACACCUACGAGGGAUCUUCAGAAAGUUCAUUGGAAAGGCAUAUUAUGAAAAAGCUUUCCGCAGAUUUAACAAACAUGUACAUCAAAAUAAACUGACUUUUUUCUUUUUGUAUUCUUUCUUCUUGUUUAUUUUUCUUUAUUUAUUUAGAGAGAGGGAGAGAGAGAGAGAGAGAGAGAGAGUUUCCAUCUGUUGGUUCACUGCCCAAAUGCCCACAACCCCCAGUGCUGGGCCAGGCCGAAGCCAGGAGCCUGGAAUAAAAUGCAGGUCUCCCAUGUGAGUGGCCAGAAUUCACCUGCUGUGUCCCAGGACUGCACUGAUAGGAAGCUGAACUGGAAGUGGACUAGGCACUCCCAUAGAGGGAUAGAGGCAUCCCCAGGGCGGCCUCACCCACCACACCACAAUGCCUGCCCCCUCAUUUUUGCUUUUCAUUUAUUCAUUUUUAAAUUUAUUUCAGAGAGAGAGAAGGAAGGAGAAAGAGGGGGAGAGAAUUCCCACAUGCUGAUUCACUUUCCAAAGGCCUGCAGUGGCCAUGGCUGGGGCCAGACCAAAGCCAGGAGCUGGGCACACAAGCCAGGACUCCCACACAGGUGUCAGGAAUGUGUCAGGAAUCCAACAAUGACUCACCUCCCAGGUGUACAUUAGCAGGGAGCUGGAGUGAGCAGACGGCCAGGUAAAAAAGACUUGCAACUGUAAAUCGAAAGUGUGUGUCCUCUACCUGAGAUUACCAACCCAGAGUGACCAACACUAAGCCACAGCAUGGUGAAAUCGCCUGGCUUAAAGUUAAAAAAAAAAACGAGCAAACCCAAACCCAGCGCCUCAGGGCCUGUGUGCAGUCGCAGUCUGCCACUUAAAGAGGUUGGAUUCUUACCGGACUUUUCGACAGCCGUGCUGUUCGUGCAAGAAGAAAAGUCGAAUAGCACACGUAAGAUUUCGAGGAAAGCCAAGCCUUUCAUAUCCAGCAAAGCUGAAUUUGGAAGGUAAAGGACCUACACUGUGGACCUGUGUGUCUUUCCUCAAGAAUCUGCUUGAGAGGGAGAUUCAGACAGAAUGACCAGAGAGCCGCUACUCUAAGGCAUGGUAGUGAACACUGAAAAUAUACUUACAGGGCCCGGCACUGUGGCAUAGUGGGCUAAGCCUCCACCUGUGGUGCCAGCAGCCCAUGUGGGCACCGGUUUGAAUCCUGGCCGCUCCACUUCUGAUCCAGCUCCCUGCUAUGGCCUGAGAAAGCAGUAGAAAAUGGCCCACAUGCUUGGUUAGGCCCCUGCACCCACGUGGGAGACCUGGAAGAAGCUCUUGGCUCCUGGCAAUGCCUUCCCGCCUUUCUUCCACAAACAGUGUGAAGUCGUUGUGUUUCCCCUACUUACUCACCGGACAUGUUUUGAUACUGGGGAGUCAGAGGGGGGACAAAAAAAAGGUGUUAUUUUCCGGAUCCCAAGACUCGUAGUCUAGAGGUGGAGGUGGAUGGGGCAGGCUGCUUCAGAGAUGGGUGGUGAGUGGAUGGAGCCUGAAUAGUGUGCAGGCUUGAACCCCAGCUCUAUUGCCCACCCGCUGCACAAACUCCGGAACGCGAUUGAGUAUUUCCGCAGCCACGGAGACAGUGUAAACCAUAACGGCGCCACUUCCAUGUGCAGGCGCCGAGGUCACAGGCAAGGGAGAUGUAUCACCCGGCACAUGGUAGGUGUUUAACAAAUGCUGCAUGGUGUACGCCCAGGUAGGGGCCUCCAGGCGCAUUCCUCUCGGGGAGCUCAGGGAGCGUGCCUGAGGCGAGUUAUAUUUGGCUGAAGUUUUUUUGGUGUGUGUGUGUGUGUGUGUGUGUAGUCCACUCGUGUCACCAGCAUCUCAUCCCUUCAUCUAAGAUGCCCGUCUCAUGGGUGUUGUGACACCUUGCGAGAAUACACGUACUCUCCGCGGAGGGUAGCCACUCAGGAUCCGGAAGCUCUUUCAUGUCUCUAUCCCCGCCUCCUUCUUCUUUCCGGGAGAGACUUCCGGAUUUCCUGGUGGCGACUGUAGAUCCAGAGUGGGUGGAGCUCUCUUGGGGACAGAACCUUUCGUCCUCUGUGGCUUCAGGUAGGGAUAGAUUGGGAACAAUGGUCUAGGAACCAUGAGGCCUCUGACCACUGGAGAAGAAAACUCUGCAACUUCUGUGUCUUUGCACACAUCUAUGAUUAGUUUGACUUCUCUUUGUUCAUUCAGUAAAGUCUGUGAAAGAAUGGGUUUUGGCUACCACAGAGAAGGGGACAGUUGGCAUAUUGUCUCCCUUAAAUAGCAGGGCAGGUGACGGGGGCCCGAGGGAGUAGGGCAAAUAACUGGGUCCCCUUAGUCCCAGGGAGCCUGCGGAGAGCAGCAAGUGCGGCCCGAGCAAUUGCCUGGAUCUGGAGUGACAUCCUGAACUUGAAGCUCUGGCCAAGUGGGCUGUCUUAGGAGACCCCUGGUCCCAGGGACCCGAUGACUUGAAAGAAAUGCCUCUGUGCCUGCCCACUCCCUGUAGCUGCACCUCCUCCUCAGGACCCCUCCCACUCCUGCCUCCAAGGUCCCUGGUUGGCUAUGGUGCUGUUGUGGUUUCACUGCCCGUGGAGGUAUUUCUGUUUCAAUGAAUGUUCUUCUAGCUCCUGCCAGGCUGUUCGAAGAUUAAUUCACAGUCUUAAUGUUUGGUCUGUUCUCUUCCCUUUGACCUCACGGCUUGUCAUUCUGUUUUUAUGGGCUUUUGAAAAGUAAAAAUAGCUGUCCCUAUUUCCUAUCAUCCAAACAGGAGACACGCUCUUUGUCUCCUCUGAAAGGGCCUUGUAAAUCCCAGGGACUCCCUUUCUGUCUGGGGUCAGUGUUCUGUGGAGCACUUGACCUUCCCCAGGGGACCUCCUUGUCUUUGAUGUGAGGGGAAACCUCAGUUCUGCAGCUUAGCCAGGAAGGAAAAACUAGAUGCUAGUGCUCUGUUGGUGAGGUGAGAAAGGAAGAAGUGGGGGUACCUGUCACCAGGUUGGUGGUGGCGGUGGCGGAUUUGUCAGCACUCGUCUGCUCCCGGAUACGGUAUGGUGGGAAGUUGCUUUCCUAAGAUGAGAGAGAUAGGAAAGAGCCUGUCGAUAAACACUGCAAAUGCUUUCUUGUCUAUACAUCAAGGUGCAUUUCAAUGUCAGUGGGUAUUUCUGUACGUAUGCAUAUAUGUAUUAUGGUAAUUUUAGAAAAAACAAAGUGGGGAAAAAAAAGAACGAGAAUGAGAAUGCCACGUGGACUGUCACCUUCCAGAGACAGCUACUGUUGGGCGUCUUAGUGUUUGCAGGAUGUGUGUGUGGUGGGAGGAGGUAGGGGCGCUCGGGGAAGGCUCACGUGCUGAUGUGCCGGUCUGCACUGUCUGUGUGCUCCUCUACUUCUGGGUCUCUUUCCAGGACUCCAAGCACUGUUUCUCCCACCCCACAGUCCAUCCUGGAGCAGACACAGAGGUUCCAAUCUCAGCCCAAGUUCAAGAUGCAAAGACGUUGCAGGUGUGCUUGCAGAGCCCCAGUUUUCCCAGACAAGGACCGGAUAAGAGGGGGCUGGAGGAGGGACAGAGCUCGCAGUGGAGUUGGAGAGAAGGAGGGGCCAGAGACGGGACCUCAUGGGGAGGGCCUCCUGCUCAGGAUGGGGGAUGCUGAAGGUCAGUGCUGAGCCAGUUCUGGAGUGUGCACCUGGCCACUGCCCCGGUCUGCUGACAUCGGGCCCGCCACAGCCCUGGACUCUCCAAGCCUCCCUGUACUACACUCGGAGGAGGAGUCUGAGCCUGACAAGAAGCCCUGACCUCUGGGCUGAGUGUGACUGCCCUUUCCCCCAAGAAGUCCCCGUGGGCAGUGGUGGCGUCACGGACACUGUCACUGUGUGAACGGCUUAUUGAGUGGGCUAGACUCCGUCCGAGGAAAGGGAGAAACUUAUUUUUUUUUCCCUACCACCUUCAUUGGAAACUUGGCCUUUGAAACCGCUCUUCCCACUCCCGGAUGAAGUUGUGGACAGGUUUUAUAGCUGCUUUCCCAGCACUGUCAGGCAGUCGAAAGCCUGGCUGCUAAAACAUCACAGGUCUCUGCUUUCUCCCACCUCGACUGCUUCCUUUCCCCGGGACCUUAUCUGGACUGGAUGCUUGUGGUGGGGCAGGAAAGGCAGGGGCCAUUCUGCUCUCCCCUUCACCACUCUGUCUCUACCCAUGAGGCCGCGUCUGACUCUUCUGGGCUCGGCGUAGGCUCGGGGAGAGAGAGGGAGGAAAGGUUUUAGCGCCCUGGCACAGGUGUAAUCUGGACCCAGUGCACCCUAGAUUGGCGGAUCUGUCCUGAGGCUGCUUUGUGGGUGUUUCAGGGCCUCGCCCCACCCCUGAGGACCUCUCACCGGCUCCCCUUUGGCUUGGCCAACUGUGUACUGACCCUCUGGGUGUCACUGACCCCUUCUCUUUGGUGUCACUUUGCAAGGUGUCCUACUAAGUAGCCUCCAUCUCCCGGUGAUCUGAUGCGGCUUCCUUCCAAGGGGACUCCCUCUAUCUCUGGCUGAUGGGGAACCUGCAGCUUUGGCCUUGCUAAUUUCUCCGUAGUGAGCUGUGGACAAGGAAGCCCCUGUUCCAUCGUGCAGAGCAGUGUGAUGGGCAAAGUUUCUGUCUGGGGGAAUUUUCAGGAGAAAGACUGCUGUCAGCCCCCAAGCCCUCCCAAUCUGGAGGACACAGCUCCCCAAUGCUUCUCUUGACGCCCUCCCCCAUUUAACUUCAUGUGAUGUAGGGGAGGACCUGCAUCCUCUCACAGAGACAGGUCCUCUCCCAAGGGCCCCCCAGUGGGCUUUCCACUCAUAGGUUCUGGAGGUGGGUGUUGGGGGAGGUCAGAAUACUUCGACUUGGACCUGUCCAAGUGUGGCCUCUGUAGGUGGUUGAGGUGGAUUUGUUCUGAGAGGAGGAGCCUGGUGGGAGCAAGAGGCACGGAGUCACCACAUAGACCCUGGGAGUCGGGUGAAAGCAGGCCAGAGGCAAGCAGCCUGCAGACUCAUUUAUUUCAGUUGGUACAGCAGCUUAUAUAACCAAGGCAGCCAAUCUGGUCAAGGGGCAGUCUAUGCCCUAACCAAUCACAGCCUCUUGCCAGGCAGGCUCCUUUGCCAUGUGGUUUCCGAAGACAUCUAAUCACAGCCUGUUGCCAGGCAGUUUCUGUUGCAAGCUGCCAUCUUGGCAUGGCCUUCUCAUUCCACCACAGUGUAGCACUUUGCUUUGGAAGUAUAAGCACUCGAUACUUUGUAUUUGUUUCUUUUUUUCUUUUCUUUUCUUCUUGGGGACUUUUUGACAAAACAUGGACAAAAAUGUCUCGUCCAAACAUCAGUUACAUACAUAGAACACAGAUAUGUUCAAGUUUUGGCAGACUACACAUAUUUUUUUCUUUUUUAAAAAAGAUUUAUUUAUUUGAAAGUCAGAGUUACACAGAAAGAAGAGGAAAAGCAGAGAGACAGAGAGAGAGGUCUUCCAUCUGCAGGUUCUCUCCCCAAUUGGCUGCAGUGGCCAGAGCUGCACUGAUCCAAAGCCAGGAGCUUCUUCUGAGUCUCCCACAUGGGUGCAGGGGCCCAAGGGCUUGGGCCAUCUUUUAUUGCUUUCCCAGGCCAUAGUAGAGAGCUGGAUUAGAAGUGGAGCAGAUGGGACUUGAACUGGUGCCCAUAUGGGAUGCCGGCACUGCAGGUGGCAACUUUACCCACAAUGCCACAGCGCCGGUUCCUACACAUACUUUUUUUAAUAGAUGCUAUACUCACUGUAUUUUUAAAAAUAUUUAUUUAUUUAUUAGAAAGUCAGAUUUACACACAGAGAGAAAGAGAGGCAGAGAGAGAGAGAGAGAGAGAGAGAGAGAGAGGUCUUCCAUCUGCUGAUUCACUCCCCAUAUGGCUGCAAUGGCUGGAGCUGAACCAAUCUGAAGCCUGGAGCCAGGAGCUUCUUCCAGGUCUCCCACACAGGUGCAGGGGCUCAAGGACUUGGGCUCUCCUCUACUGCUUUCCUGGGCCAUAGCAGAGAGCUAGAUCGGAAGUGGAGCAGCCAGGUCUUGAACCGGUGCCCAUGUGGAAUGCCGGCACUGCAGGUGGAGGCUUUACCUGCUAUGCCACAGUGCCAGCCCCAGUAUACUCUCUGUAUUUUACUGCUGAUAAAUAUACACCUAUAUACUUGCCUUAAUGAAAUUAUUUUUUCAUUUUAGUUAAUUAAAAAUUCAAAGGCAGUGUAUGAUUUUGUAAAAAUUCAGAAAAUAUGGAAAGUUAAAAAUUCCCUUCAAUUCUAAUAUUGAAAUUCUUCUCUUCUACAAUCAACCACUUUUUCAUUUAGAUUGAUUUUUUUAUUUGAAAGGUGGAGAUACAGAGGCAGACAGAGAGAGGGAGAGAGGUCUUCCAUCUGCUGGUUUACUCCCAAACAGCUGCAAUGGCUGGAGCUGAGCUGAUCUGAAGCCAGGAGCCUGGUGCUUCCUCUAGGUCUCCCACAUGGGUGCAGGGGUCCAGGGACCUGGGCCAUCCUCUGCUGUCUUCUUAGGCCAUAAGUAGGGAGAUGGAUUGGAAAUGGAGCAGCCAGGACUUGAACUGGUUCCCAUGUGGGAUGCCGGCACUGCAGGGGGCUGCCUUACCCACUGUGCCACGGCACUGGCCCCUAGGAGUAACAACUUUAAUUUCCUAUGCAUCCUUCCCAGUCUUUACCACCCACUUACAAACAUAUGUAUAGACUUAAAAAUCAAUAAUUGAAUUAUAUUUGUAUCUAAAGCUCGAUGUCUUAAUGAUUUGACUUCUUGUAUUUUCUUGUUUAAAGAUUUUAUUUAAUUAUUUGAGAGGUAGGGUUACAGACAGAGGGAGAGACAGAGAGAAAGAUCUUCCAUUCACCGGUUCACUCCCCAAAUGGCUGUAACAGCCGGAGCUGGGCCAAUCCAAAGCCAGGAGCCAGGAGCUUCUUCUGGAUCUCCCCUGUGGGUGCAGGGGCCCAAGGACUUGGGCCAUCUUCUACUGCUUUCCCAGGCCACAGCAGAGAGCUGGAUCGGAAGAGGAGCAGCUGGGUCUCGAACUGGUGCCUAUGUGGGAUGCCUGCACUACAGGCAGUGGCUUUACCUGCUAUGCCACAGUGCCGGCCCCAUGGAUAUUAAUUUUGAGACUGAUAGAAACAUAGAUAUAAAUGGGUUUGUUGGAAACAUAAAGAUGCUUACUCACAGAAUGAGCACAGCAUGUGGACUGUGGCAUCCAUGUUCCCAGCCAACUCAGAUUCUAUUCCUGCUUUUUUCCUAGUAACAGAAUUCUGAUUUUAUUGGGUGACUACUGUCUGGUAGGUAGACCACAGUUCCAGCUGCUCCUGAAGCUGGUAGUGGGCGCGUGAGGAAUUGUGAGUGGGACUCCUGUGGAAAAUGCCCACAAAGGCUUCCUGAAAAGAGCUGACUCAGCUGACCCAUGUCUUUUGUGCCCUGCUCCCUUCUUUCUUCCUGCUGCUGGGAGAUUGGGCAUGAUGGCUGGAGCCCUAGCAGCUGCCUUAUGGCCUUGAGAAUAGAAAGUAUCUCCUAAGGAGCUUGGAGUAGAAAGAGAAAUGGUGGCUGGGCUCUGGAGGACAGCAGAACCUCUACCAGGCAUUCUGGACUGCCUUCCUCUGGUCUUCUGUGAGGGAGGGAAUCGUAUGCCUUCAUCCUCUGUUUCACUCCCCAAGUGACCGCAAUGGCGAGGCUGGGCCAGGUUGAAACCAGGAGCCUGGAACUCUAUCUGGGUCUUCCACAUGGGCAUCAGGAGCCCAAGCACUUGUGCCACCUUGUGCUGCUUUACCAGGUGCAUUGCCAGGGAUCAGGAUGGGAAGAGGAGCGACCAGGACUCAAACUGAUGCCUGUAUGGGAUGCUGGCAUUGCAGGCGGUCGCUUAACCGGCUGCGCCACAAAGCCAGAACUUGUGUCUUGUAAGUUGCUUAUUUUGUAGUUUCUAUCCCAAGCAGCUGAACUGAAUCCUAGCUCUUUGUAGGCCUUCCAAAAUGGCAGAGUUAAAAAGAGGGGCCAUAACAAAAAGUUGGUCAGUUUGGUGAGGGCUAGGGGGAAAAUAAAAGCAUGGGGCUUCACAAAAGGAGAAAUUGCAAAAGCCAUGGACAUUCUAACAGAGUUAGAAAUUAAAAAUCACAGACACAUAAUAAUAUUUAAAAUGCAUAAACCACUGUGGGGAAAAGAACGGUCUUCUUAAUAGUUCUCGGGUAGAAAAGGACCCAGAUGCUUGGACUGUUUGGGAAGUGCACGGUGGGUGACCGCUACACUUCUUUACUUGGGUUGCAGCCAGCAUUGUUCUUAGAGGAACCCCUGGUGAUGAGCGCUUUGUGAGAAAAGAAUAUGGAGCCAUACUUAAUAUAUUCAAAUUUAGAAGCUGGAAAGGCUGAAGAAAAGAAUAGGUGGGAAUUAGUUGCUAUAAAAACAGGAAUUGUUGAAGCAGAUUUAUUUAUUUAUUUAUUUUUAAAGGUUUGUUUUAUUUAUCUGAAAGACAGAGUCACACAGAGAGGUUGAGCCAGAGAGAGAGAGAGAGGUGGAGCCAGAGAGAGAGAGAGGUCUUCCAUCUGCCAGUUCACUCCCUAGUUGGCCGCAACGGCUGAGGCAAUCCGAAGCCAGGAGCCAGGAGCCUCUUCUGUCUCUCCCAUGUGGGUGCAGGGGCCCAAGGACUUGAGCCAUUCUCCGCUGCUUCUCCAGGCACAUUAGCAGGGAGCUAGAUCGGAAAGUGGAACAGUGAGACUCGAACCAUGCCCAUAUGGGAUGCCCGUGCUGCAGGCUGGAGCUUUAACCCACUAUGCCACAGUGCUGGCCCCUGAAACAGAUUUAAAAAAGAAGCAGGGGCCUGUGCUGUGGUGUAGUGGGUAAAGCUGCCGUCUGCAGUGCUGACAUCACAUGUGGACCCCAGUUCGAGUCCCAGCUGCUCCUCUUCUGAUCCAGCUCUCUGCUGUGGCCUGGGAAAGCAGUGGAAGAUGGCCCAAGUCCUUGGGCCCCUACACCCACGUGGGAGACCUGGAAAAAGCUCGUAGCUUCUGGCUUCGGAUCGGCGCAGCUCUGGCCAUUGCGGCCAUCUGGGAAGUGAACCGGCAGAUGGAAGCCCUCUCUCUUUCUCUCUCUCUCUGCCUCUCUGCCCCUCCUUCUCUCUCUGUGUAACUCUCCCUUUCAAAUAAAUAAAUCUUAAAAAAAGGAUAUAAAACUAUCAAGAUUAUACAUUAUAGACUUCUGGCCUAUAGCUUCAAGUACACUUUUACCUCUUCCCAGUUGGAUUUAAAAUGGCUCCCUAUGUGGUGAUAUUUCCUAUUUACCAGAGACAGGAUUUUGGACCUUCUGGUUCUGUAAGCCACCUAUGCUGCCAAAUCCUGCCGCAGCCACAGCAGAUGCCAGCAUCAGCUUCACAGAGAAAUAAAUUACCUGUAUUGGCAGGAUGUGCCUGCCAGUACAUCCACAGUUGUCCGUGGAGCGGCGCCCUCCUUCCCCGAUGUGUUUCCGUUACUCUGCAAGACUCGUGUGAGACUCCGCGCUCUCUCUGAGCUCUGACUUCCAUCUGCUUCUGCCUUUUCGGAAGUCUUGCUUUGUGGAUGAUUGACACUCUCUCCUGCACUUUAAUUUACCUCGGAACUUUAAAAACAGCAAUUAAACAUAGGUAUGAAGGCCCUCAGGGUCUGGCUUCUUUCUGCCUCUGUUUCCACUGCCUAUCUCCUGCUCCGUGUUUUUCAUUUCUUCUUCUUCUUUUUUUUUUUUUAAAGGUUUAUUUUAUUCAUUUGACAUUUGAAAGGCAGAGAGGGGCUGGGAAAGACAGAGAUCUUCCAUCUGCUGGUGCACUCCCCAGAUGGUCACAACGGCCAGAGCUGAAGCCAGGAGCCAGGAGCUUCUUCUGGGUCUCCCAUGUAGAUGCAGGGGACCCAGCAUCUUCUGCUGCUUUCCCAGGUGCCUUAGCAGGGAGCUGGAUCGGAAGUGGAGCAGCCGGAACUCAAACGGGCGCCCCUGUGGGAUGCUGGCCUUGCAGGUGGCAGCUUUACCUGCACUGGCCCCUGAUUUUCCUUUUAGCUCCUUGAGUGCACCUUGUUUUCACCUACCCCUGGGAUUUUGCACAUGCUGACUCUUGUUUCUGGAAUAUUGCCUGCCUCUUGUCCUGCAUCCUCUAUCUUUGAGUAAUGCUUUUGUAUCUUUCGUUUUAUCCCACAUUCUCUGGGAAAUCUCUUACGCUAACAGUUUUGGGGACAGCUGUAGUUCUGAUAGGCUUCACCUGCAGGCUAUCGUAGAGCCGGUCAGUCUAGAAUAGACUAAGAGAUUUAUUUCGAACCUCCUUGUUUUCCUUCAACAAGACGAAAACUGUUCUCCUCAGUGUUGAAUUCCUGGCAUCUAGAACGGCCUGGCAUUCAAGAAGCAUGGUUGUUGUUGCCAGUGGAGUGAUUUAACUCAUUGACUGACUCAUUUUUUAAAAAAAUAUUUAUUUACUUGAAAGGCACCACUCUGCGGAAGCACAGCUUUUCUCUGACCUGAGGGCUGUUCUGAAUUAAGUUUUGCUAUUUUGAAUUCCAAGUUUUUUUCUGAGCCAGAGUGAAAAGUGAACUUAUAGCUGUUAAUUCAUUGAGUCCAUUAACAACGGAAUUUUGUAAACAGUUAAACAUGCUCAUUUUAUAUCGGUGUUAUCAAAUAUUUUAUUUUUAAAAUAGAUUUAUUUUAAUUACUUGAAAGGCAGAGUAACAGAGAGAGAGGGAGAGACAGAGAGAGGCAGUGACGGAGAGAGAAAGAGAUCUUCCAUCUAUCUGCUGGUUCACUCGCCAAAUGGCCACAUUAUCCAUGGCUGGGCUAAGCUGAAGCCAGAAGCAAGGAACUCCAUCCGGGUCUCCCAUGUGGGUGGCAGGAACCCAAGUAUUUGAGCCAUCUUCCAUUGCCUUCCCAGGUGCAUUAGCAGGGAGCUGGAAUGGAAGCGGGGCAGCCAGGACUCGAACCAGUGCUCCUUAUAGGAUGCCUGUGUCGUAGGCAGGAGCUUAACCUGCUGUACCACAACACCGGUCCCCACUGAUUGAAUCUUUGGGAAGCUUAAUUUGACUGUAGGGAAAAUACACUUUGUGUGGUGUAAGAGUGCUAAAUAUUGCCAUUUUGGGGGCUCAAAUUUAAAUCCUGGCAUUUUCC